AGAAGCUGCUCUCCAAGUGAAUACAGCUCAAUGCAACUCAACAAGUGUUUGCAGAGCACCUGCUGAAAGUCAAGGAGAAGCCUUACUCACUUCCAUAUCAACUGUACCAUUCACUUUCUGUCAUGCACAACCUCCCAAUAUUAAAUACCUUUUCACAUUCGAAGGCCUGGAUUCCUCAAGAUGCUGAAAAUUUCUGCCAAAUAUCUUGGUAACAUUUAGAACUGUUUUCAAAAGAAAGAAAGGCACUAUGAAGACCAGCUCUAAGCUCAAGCAAGGUGUUGAGGGAGACAGCUGGUGGAAGGCGGAUGGAUCAUGGCGGCAGUUCUCCCCAAGCUGUUCUUGUGAUACAGUGUGAAAACGGACUAAUACACAGUGCUUUGUGCUUGGAAAACGGCAUAAAGGAGAUGGAGGUAAUGUGCGAUGACUGAGAGAAUUUGUAGAACAGCAAAAACCACUGAAAUGCCAUUCUUCAAUAGAGGCACCAGAUCUCCAGGUGUGCCUAAAGAAUCUUGGGGAUGUGUCUUCUGAAGCUAAAGAGACCCCUAAGCAUCCUGCAAAAUACCAGUGCACAACAAUUUGGGACAUAGCUUAAGCUUUCUGCUCGAUGCUGGCGACAAAGAGGAGAAAGACAACUUCUACUCUCAGACAACUUCGUCUGCUUUAGGAGUUACAAACACAGACAAUUUCAACACUGGAUGAAAAUGAUGGGACAAAGGUAAAAGGAGAGAGGAAUGCAUCUCAGCUGAGUUUCAGAAAAAAAAAAGUUUUGAAGAGAUCUCAAUGUUAGGAAGCCAACAAGGCCUGCAAAAGUCACCUAGAUCAUGAAAUUGACUAUGUCAGGGGAGGCAAUUCGUCACAAUCGUGUUUGAAAAUGAGGAUAAGCAUGGAGAGCCAAUGAUUACAUUUCAAAAUGUCCUUCAUGGCUUAAACUUUUCCUUAUAGUUGUCUGGGAAGCAGAAUUAAAGUUGUGUGGCCCCUGAGAGAUAAGGGGACUUGGAUAGGGGAUGAGAUUGUGGUAGGAAGAUAAUAAUAAGGCUACAUAUCAAGAGACUGCACCUGUUGUCCUUAAGCAUGUAACCUGAAUGAGUGGCCCUAGCUUCCAUGGAAACACCUGAACCUCAGGUCUUCUCCUUUAAGAAACAACAUGAGGAUUCCCAGGCAAGAUGGCCAAAUAGGAACAGCUCCUGUCUGCAGCUCCCAGGGAGACCAAUGCAGAAGGCAGGUGAUUUCUGCAUUUCUAGCUCAGUGUAAACAAAGCCACCUGGAAGUUUGGAUUGGGCGGAGCCUACCAGAGCUGGGCAAAGCCUCUGUAGCCAGACUGCCUCUCUAGAUUCCUCCUCUCUGGGUAGGGAAUCUCUGAAAGAAAGGCGGCAGCCCCAGUCAGGGGCUUAUAGAUAAAACUCCCAUUUCUCAAAGACAGAGCACCUGGGGAAAGGGGCGGCUGUGGGCUCAGCUUCAGCAGACUUAAAUGUUCCUGCCUGCUGGCUCUGAAGAGAGCAAUGGAUCUCCCAGCACAAUGCUCGGCUCAAGCUCUGCUAAGGGACAUUCUGCCUUCUCAGGUGGGUCCCUGACCCCAUGUCUCCUGACAGGGAGACACCUCCCAGCAGAGGUUGACAGACACCUCAUACAGGAGAGCUCCGGCUGGCAUCUGGCAGGUGCCCCUCUGGGACAAAGUUUCCAGAGGAAGGAGCAGGCAGCAAUCUUUGCUGUUCUACAGCCUCUGCUGGUGAUACCCAGGCAAAGAGGAUCUGGAGUGGACCCCUUAGCAAACUCCAGCAAACCUGCAGAAGAGGGGCCUGACUGUUAGAAGGAAAACUAACCAAUAGAAAGCAAGAGCAUCAAAAUCAACAAAAAGGAUGACCCCACAAAAACUCCAUCCUAAGGUCACCAACAUCAAAGACCAAAGGUAGAUACAUCCACAAAGUUGAGAAAAAAACAGUGAAAAAAGACUGAAAAUUCCAAAAAACAGAAAGCCUCUUCUCCUCCAAAGGAUCACAAUUCCUUGCCACCAAGGGAAAAAACUAAUGGAGAAUGCGUUUGAUGAAUUGACAGUAGUAGGCCUCAGAAGGUAGGUAAUAACAAACUUUUCUGAGCUAAAGGAGCAUGUUCUAACCCAAUGCAAGGAAGCUAAGAACCUUGAUGAAAGGUUAGAGGAAUUGCUAACUAGCAUAACCAAUGUAGAGAAGAACAUAAAUGAUCUGAUGGAGCUGAAAAACACAGCAUAAGACCUUCGUGAAGGAUACACAAGUAUCAAUAGCCAAAUUGAUCAAGCAGAAGAAAGGGUAUCAGAGAUUGAAGAUCAACUUAAUGAAAUAAAGUGUGAAGACAAGAUUAGGUAAAAAAGAAUGAAAAGGAAUGAACAAAGCCUCCAAGAAAUAAGGGACUAUGUG